GCUGCGUGUCAUGCACGAAGGGCAUGCGGAUUGUCACAUGUACGUUCAUCAGGGUAGUUAUGGUAUAUGAGGUAUAAUCAUCCUUCAGCGAGUGGAAGUUACCCGGCAGAAGAAGCACAGGCUACACUCCGUGUCAGCAGCCCGCAGUAAUACGUAAUGGUGGCGAGGCGCUAAUCGUGAUUUAGUUGGUAGUAAAGUGCACGCAGUGCCGUCGGUCAUGUCGGAUGUGAGAUCCCCAUGCUCACACCUGAAAUGUGCAUUCGAACACUGACAGGCCAGAGUCUUGUAGAGGGGGGUAGAAUUCCAGGUGUAGCGUGUGAACUGUGUAGAGAUCUGAUGGAAUACCGGUGGCGAAGGCGGCCCCCUGGACAAAGACUGACGAUCAGGUGUGAUAGCGUGGAGAGCGGACAGGAUUAGAUACCAUGGUAGUUCAUACCGUAAACGAUGUAGAAUUGUAGGUUGUUCCCGUGUGGCGUGGCUUCGGGAGUUAACGAAUUAAAUAAGCUGCCCGCGGAGUACGUCCGCAAGCUUAAAACUCAAUCGAAUGAAUGGGGGGCGGCCCGAGCGGUGGAGCGUGUGGUUUAUUUAGUUGCAACGUGAAGAACCUUCCUUACUAUUGACAUCCAGAGAACUUACCAGAGAUGAAUUGGUGCCUUCGUGAACUAUGAGACAGGUGCUGCAUGGCUGUUGUCAACUUCUGUUGUGAAAUUGUGGGUUAAGUCCCGCAACGAGCGCAACCCCUAUCCUUUGUUGCCAGCGGUCCGGCCGGGAACUCAAAGGAGACUGCCAGUGAUAAACUGGAGGAAGGUGGGGAUGACGUCAAGUCAUCAUGGCCCUUACGCGUAGGGCUACACACGUGAUACAAUGGCGCAUACAGAGAGAAGCGACCUCGCGAGAGCAAGCGGACCUCAUAAACUGGGUUGUAGUCCGGAUUGGAUUCUGCAACUGGACUCCAUGAAGUGGGAAUCGCUUGUAAUCGCGACCAGCAGUUCCCCCUUCA
rnacentral:rRNA from 1 species